GUGGGGAAUAUUGGACAAUGGGCGCAAGCCUGAUCCAGCAAUGCCGCGUGGGUGAAGAAGGUCUUCGGAUCGUAAAGCCCUUUCGACAGGGACGAUGAUGACGGUACCUGUAGAAGAAGCCCCGGCUAACUUCGUGCCAGCAGCCGCGGUAAUACGAAGGGGGCUAGCGUUACUCGGAAUUACUGGGCGUAAAGGGCGCGUAGGCGGCUCUGUUAGUCAGGCGUGAAAUUCCUGGGCUUAACCUGGGGACUGCGCUUGAUACUGCAGGGCUUGAGGCCGAGAGAGGGUGGUGGAAUUCCCAGUGUAGAGGUGAAAUUCGUAGAUAUUGGGAAGAACACCGGUGGCGAAGGCGACCACCUGGCUCGGUUCUGACGCUGAGGCGCGACAGCGUGGGGAGCAAACAGGAUUAGAUACCCGUGUAGUCC
rnacentral:rRNA from 1 species